GUUUAUUUGAUAGUACCUUACUACUUGGAUAACCGUGGUAAUUCUAGAGCUAAUACAUGCUAAAAACCCCAACUUCGGGAGGGGUGUAUUUAUUAGAUAAAAAACCAAUGCCCUUCGGGGCUCUUUGGUGAUUCAUGAUAACUUAACGGAUCGCAUGGCCUUGCGCCGGCGACGGUUCAUUCAAAUUUCUGCCCUAUCAACUUUCGAUGGUAAGGUAUUGGCUUACCAUGGUUUCAACGGGUAACGGGGAAUUAGGGUUCGAUUCCGGAGAGGGAGCCUGAGAAACGGCUACCACAUCCAAGGAAGGCAGCAGGCGCGCAAAUUACCCAAUCCCGACACGGGGAGGUAGUGACAAUAAAUACUGAUACAGGGCUCUUUUGGGUCUUGUAAUUGGAAUGAGUACAAUUUAAACCCCUUAACGAGGAACAAUUGGAGGGCAAG
rnacentral:rRNA from 1 species